rnacentral:rRNA from 1 species
GAUGAACGCUGACAGAAUGCUUAACACAUGCAAGUCUUUGGCGAAGCUGUGCUUGCACAGCCUAGCCAAGGCGGACGGGUGAGUAACGCGUAAGGGACUUGCCCUGCAGUCAGGGAUAACAGACGGAAACGACUGAUAAGACCUGGUAAAGUCAGGCGGACUCAUGUCCAGCCUGAUGAAAAGGAAUGCUGCAGGAGAGCCUUGCGUCCUAUUAGCUUGUUGGUGGGGUAACGGCCCACCAAGGCGAUGAUAGGUAGCCGGCCUGAGAGGGUGGACGGCCACAAGGGGACUGAGAUACGGCCCUUACUCCUACGGGAGGCAGCAGUGGGGAAUAUUGGACAAUGGGGGCAACCCUGAUCCAGCAAUUCUGUGUGCACGAUGAAGGUCUUCGGAUUGUAAAGUGCUUUCAGCAGGGAAGAAAAAAAUGACGGUACCUGCAGAAGAAGCGACGGC